CAUUUCUCAAAAUUAUUUCUCCUCGCCUUUCUCCAAAUUUUGGAGAGAAAAAAAACGUUUUCCUGCACUUUUAAGGUAAACAUUACUAACCUAAAAAACUCUCCUACACAAAUAAGGAAAAUAUUACUAAAAAGGAUCUCCUAGAAAAUAAGGAUUCCCCAACCUAAUUCAUUAGAUAAGCACACAAAUAAAUUAUGUACUCUCUCAGAACAACGACAUCCAACAUCAUAUAUUUUUGUCACGAUAGCGAAGCCAGAAACACCAAUCUUUUCAGAAGUUUGUAGGCCUACCAAGGAAGUGGAUCUGAUGAAACAAAAUAACGAGAAGUUGCGAGCACCAGCAACCACAAACAACCAACAGCCACCAGUAUGUAAGGUCAAGAACAAUGUUAUUACGUGGGCAAAAAAAUUGUCUGACUUACAAAUCUUGCACUCUUUCUUUAAUUUCUUUCAUGUAUACAAUUCGUUAUUUGCUGUGGGGAUGAUCAUCAAGCUCGGUGUCUCAAUUCGGUGCCCUAGAGAGGGGAUUGUCAUUCACACUACUGCUUUACCUCGUGACUACUCCUUCUCAUUUCAGUAACACAUAUGAAGUGAUUAUAUCUUAAUUUUUACUGACUCUUCUCCUUUCCUCCUCUAUAUUCUAGAAAAGAACAUAUAUUUAUGGAUGAGGACUAAUUCAUUGGUUGGGUGAGUUGGCCUUAAGCGUCAUUUCCUUGUGGAAAAGGAAAUAGUUUCUCUAGUAAGGUCUUAUACUGUUUAUUGUGUGCUACAUAAUCUGUGUGCUGCAGUUUUUAGCUUAUUGUAAGAUGAUUUCUUAUGAUAAACAACAACAUACACAAUGUGAAUGCAUAUUAAUGCUACACACUGUUAAUUACAUUAUAAGAUGUUUGUAUCUUUGUCCCAACACCAUAUGUUUGUUUUAUUGAAGUAAUCAUAUCUCUUCUUUUUUUA